AGAACGAACGCUGGCGGCAUGCCUAACACAUGCAAGUCGAACGGGACCUUCGGGUCUAGUGGCGCACGGGUGCGUAACGCGUGGGAAUCUGCCCUCAGGUACGGAAUAACUCAGGGAAACUUGAGCUAAUACCGUAUAAUGACUUCGGUCCAAAGAUUUAUCGCCUGAGGAUGAGCCCGCGUAGGAUUAGCUUGUUGGUGAGGUAAAAGCUCACCAAGGCGACGAUCCUUAGCUGGUCUGAGAGGAUGACCAGCCACACUGGGACUGAGACACGGCCCAGACUCCUACGGGAGGCAGCAGUGGGGAAUAUUGGACAAUGGGCGAAAGCCUGAUCCAGCAAUGCCGCGUGAGUGAUGAAGGCCUUAGGGUUGUAAAGCUCUUUUACCCGGGAUGAUAAUGACAGUACCGGGAGAAUAAGCUCCGGCUAACUCCGUGCCAGCAGCCGC
rnacentral:rRNA from 1 species